CCUACGGGAGGCAGCAGUGGGGAAUAUUGGGCAAUGGGCGAAAGCCUGACCCAGCAACGCCGCGUGAAGGAAGAAAGCUUUCUGGUUGUAAACUUCUUUUGACAGGGAAGAGCAGCAGACGGUACCUGUCGAAUAAGCCACGGCUGACUACGUUGCAGCAGCCGCGUUAAUACGUAGGUGGCAAGCGUUGUCCGGAUUUACUGGGUGUAAAGGGCGUGUAGCCGGGCUGACAAGUCAGAUGUGAAAUCCGGGGGCUCAACCCCCGAACUGCAUUUGAAACUGUUGGUCUUGAGUAUCGGAGAUGCAGGCGUAAUUCCUAGUGUAGCGGUGAAAUGCGUAGAUAUUAGGAGGAACACCAGUGGCGAAGGCGGCCUGCUGGACGACAACUGACGGUGAGGCGCGAACGCGUGGGGAGCAAACAGGAUUAGAUACCCUAGUAGUC
rnacentral:rRNA from 1 species